GGGUUGUGAGGUUAAGCGACUAAGCGUACACGGUGGAUGCCCUGGCAGUCAGAGGCGAUGAAGGGCGUGCUAAUCUGCGAUAAGCGCCGGUAAGGUGAUAUGAACCGUUAUAACCGGCGAUACCCGAAUGGGGAAACCCAGUGUGAUUCGUCACACUAUCAUUAACUGAAUCCAUAGGUUAAUGAGGCGAACCGGGGGAACUGAAACAUCUAAGUACCCCGAGGAAAAGAAAUCAACCGAGAUUCCCCCAGUAGCGGCGAGCGAACGGGGAGGAGCCCAGAGCCUGAAUCAGCAUGUGUGUUAGUGGAAGCGUCUGGAAAGGCGCGCGAUACAGGGUGACAGCCCCGUACACAAAAGCGCAUGUGCUGUGAGCUCGAUGAGUAGGGCGGGACACGUGGUAUCCUGUCUGAAUAUGGGGGGACCAUCCUCCAAGGCUAAAUACUCCUGACUGACCGAUAGUGAACCAGUACCGUGAGGGAAAGGCGAAAAGAACCCCGGCGAGGGGAGUGAAAAAGAACCUGAAACCGUGUACGUACAAGCAGUGGGAGCACAGGUUUACCUGUGUGACUGCGUACCUUUUGUAUAAUGGGUCAGCGACUUAUAUUCUGUAGCAAGGUUAACCGAAUAGGGGAGCCGGAGGGAAACCGAGUCUUAACCGGGCGUUAAGUUGCAGGGUAUAGACCCGAAACCCGGUGAUCUAGCCAUGGGCAGGUUGAAGGUUGGGUAACACUAACUGGAGGACCGAACCGACUAAUGUUGAAAAAUUAGCGGAUGACCUGUGGCUGGGGGUGAAAGGCCAAUCAAACCGGGAGAUAGCUGGUUCUCCCCGAAAGCUAUUUAGGUAGCGCCUCGUGAAUUCAUCUCCGGGGGUAGAGCACUGUUUCGGCUAGGGGGCCAUCCCGGCUUACCAACCCGAUGCAAACUGCGAAUACCGGAGAAUGUUAUCACGGGAGACACACGGCGGGUGCUAACGUCCGUCGUGAAGAGGGAAACAACCCAGACCGCCAGCUAAGGUCCCAAAGUCAUGGUUAAGUGGGAAACGAUGUGGGAAGGCCCAGACAGCCAGGAUGUUGGCUUAGAAGCAGCCAUCAUUUAAAGAAAGCGUAAUAGCUCACUGGUCGAGUCGGCCUGCGCGGAAGAUGUAACGGGGCUAAACCAUGCACCGAAGCUGCGGCAGCGACGCUGAUGCGUUGUUGGGUAGGGGAGCGUUCUGUAAGCCUGCGAAGGUGGCCUGUGAGGGUUGCUGGAGGUAUCAGAAGUGCGAAUGCUGACAUAAGUAACGAUAAAGCGGGUGAAAAGCCCGCUCGCCGGAAGACCAAGGGUUCCUGUCCAACGUUAAUCGGGGCAGGGUGAGUCGACCCCUAAGGCGAGGCCGAAAGGCGUAGUCGAUGGGAAACGGGUUAAUAUUCCCGUACUUGGUGUUACUGCGAAGGGGGGACGGAGAAGGCUAUGUUGGCCGGGCGACGGUUGUCCCGGUUUAAGCGUGUAGGCUGGUUUUCCAGGCAAAUCCGGAAAAUCAAGGCUGAGGCGUGAUGACGAGGCACUACGGUGCUGAAGCAACAAAUGCCCUGCUUCCAGGAAAAGCCUCUAAGCAUCAGGUAACAUCAAAUCGUACCCCAAACCGACACAGGUGGUCAGGUAGAGAAUACCAAGGCGCUUGAGAGAACUCGGGUGAAGGAACUAGGCAAAAUGGUGCCGUAACUUCGGGAGAAGGCACGCUGACACGUAGGUGAAGUGAUUUACUCAUGGAGCUGAAGUCAGUCGAAGAUACCAGCUGGCUGCAACUGUUUAUUAAAAACACAGCACUGUGCAAACACGAAAGUGGACGUAUACGGUGUGACGCCUGCCCGGUGCCGGAAGGUUAAUUGAUGGGGUCAGCGCAAGCGAAGCUCCUGAUCGAAGCCCCGGUAAACGGCGGCCGUAACUAUAACGGUCCUAAGGUAGCGAAAUUCCUUGUCGGGUAAGUUCCGACCUGCACGAAUGGCGUAAUGAUGGCCAGGCUGUCUCCACCCGAGACUCAGUGAAAUUGAACUCGCUGUGAAGAUGCAGUGUACCCGCGGCAAGACGGAAAGACCCCGUGAACCUUUACUAUAGCUUGACACUGAACAUUGAGCCUUGAUGUGUAGGAUAGGUGGGAGGCUUUGAAGUGUGGACGCCAGUCUGCAUGGAGCCGACCUUGAAAUACCACCCUUUAAUGUUUGAUGUUCUAACGUGGACCCGUUACCCGGGUUGCGGACAGUGUCUGGUGGGUAGUUUGACUGGGGCGGUCUCCUCCUAAAGAGUAACGGAGGAGCACGAAGGUUGGCUAAUCCUGGUCGGACAUCAGGAGGUUAGUGCAAUGGCAUAAGCCAGCUUGACUGCGAGCGUGACGGCGCGAGCAGGUGCGAAAGCAGGUCAUAGUGAUCCGGUGGUUCUGAAUGGAAGGGCCAUCGCUCAACGGAUAAAAGGUACUCCGGGGAUAACAGGCUGAUACCGCCCAAGAGUUCAUAUCGACGGCGGUGUUUGGCACCUCGAUGUCGGCUCAUCACAUCCUGGGGCUGAAGUAGGUCCCAAGGGUAUGGCUGUUCGCCAUUUAAAGUGGUACGCGAGCUGGGUUUAGAACGUCGUGAGACAGUUCGGUCCCUAUCUGCCGUGGGCGCUGGAGAACUGAGGGGGGCUGCUCCUAGUACGAGAGGACCGGAGUGGACGCAUCACUGGUGUUCGGGUUGUCAUGCCAAUGGCACUGCCCGGUAGCUAAAUGCGGAAGAGAUAAGUGCUGAAAGCAUCUAAGCACGAAACUUGCCCCGAGAUGAGUUCUCCCUGAGACUUAGAGUCUCCUGAAGGAACGUUGAAGACGACGACGUUGAUAGGCCGGGUGUGUAAGCGCAGCGAUGCGUUGAGCUAACCGGUACUAAUGAACCGUGAGGCUUAACCUUACAACGCCGAAG
rnacentral:rRNA from 1 species